CUGAUGUCCGCUUCCGCCGCCGCCGCUCCUGCCUUUUGAGGUUAGCGUCUCCAUUCACCGCUUCUUUCUUUCAUCAUAGGCUCCGGUACCGACUUUAUUUGUUUUUCAUUCUAUUUCUAUUAUUCGUCGGAAAAUUUUCGAUAACCGCCAGAUUCUGUGUUUCAAAGAGAUUGCGAUUAGAACAGAAGUUAUAAGAAAAGAUUAAUCUUUUAAGCUCUUCCUAAUUGAAGAAGUGGCGAAGCGUUUUCUAUGGAAUCUUCCAUUUGUCCCUUUUGUCACCUUUCCCUUCCCUCCUCAGAACUCCAAUGGCACGCUAACAGUCACUUCGAGGAUGAAGAUAAGGAAGCUAAAGACCUGGAAUUGGCUAAUCAGAUUCAAUUCGCUUCUUCUUCAGGCUCCAAUAACGUGGAUAGCAUUUCCUCCUUGAUUGGUUUACAAACAAGGGGAAAUUAUUACCAUGUUAAAGAUGGUUUGAUUUCCUUGCUGAGAAAUUGUUUAGAACUAGAGGCCCCGCACAACUCAUCAGUAACCAUUUUGUCUGGCUACGAUGAUUAUUUCCAUAGUGUUCCAUCCAUAGAUGUUGGUUGGGGUUGUGGCUGGCGUAACAUUCAAAUGCUAAGUUCUCAUUUGCUCGCUCAUAGACAGGAAGCUAGAGAAGUCCUGUUUGGUGGGCCAGGUUUUGUUCCUGAUAUCGCUUUCCUUCAACGUUGGCUUGAGAUUGCUUGGGAAAGGGGAUUUGAUCCUCCUGGUGCCAAGCACUUUAACUGCAAAAUCUAUGGUACCAGUCACUGGAUUGGGACUACUGAAUGUGCUUCACUUUUUCGUUCAUUCGGUCUUUGUGCUAGGGUAGUUGUCUUUUGUCCCAAAGAAUCUGAACAGCUCUUCUUUAUGUUCCUGGUUCUACUCUUGGACAACCAGUGACGCAAAGGAAUGCAGUUCAAGUUUCUGGACCUAUAGUAUGGAUAGAUAUGUUCAUCGCCAGCAUGGUUUGAAUAAGGGAAGGCACUCUUGUGAUGGAUCGGGCAAAUUGAGUUAUAAUUCUAAAGGGAAAAGUGAGGGGCCUCAGGUUCUGAUAGACUGGGUGUGGAAUUACUUUUCAGAUAAAGGGCUAACUGUAUCCAGUUCCAGUCAAGUUGUAGUCAGCAAUAGAGCGCCUUUAUACUUCCAACAUGAUGGACGUUCAAGAACAAUCAUUGGGAUUCAGGUUAAAAAUUAGCAGAAUGGGAUGCGUCAGUUCAAUCUCUUGAUUUUGGACCCUUCUGAGAAGCUUAUAAAAAGAGUACACACCUUGAAGAAGCCACAGUUCCAGUUAUGCUAAAUUGAUCCUGGAAUUACUAGCAGGGAGGAGCUCGAAGAACUCAAAACUGUAAAUAGCAUGCUCAUUGAAUUGUAGAAAAAUAUAGUGAAAUUGUGUCCUUGGGUACUGUGCACCUAUUUCUUGUAAAGUUUUGUGCCCUAUCCUUUUUUUCAUGACAAAAUGAAUA